CAGCCGCCGCGGUAAUACGUAGGGUGCGAGCGUUAAUCGGAAUUACUGGGCGUAAAGCGUGCGCAGGCGGUUGUGCAAGACAGAUGUGAAAUCCCCGAGCUUAACUUGGGAACUGCAUUUGUGACUGCACGGCUAGAGUGUGUCAGAGGGGGGUAGAAUUCCACGUGUAGCAGUGAAAUGCGUAGAUAUGUGGAGGAAUACCGAUGGCGAAGGCAGCCCCCUGGGAUAACACUGACGCUCAUGCACGAAAGCGUGGGGAGCAAACAGGAUUAGAUACCCGCGUAGUCCCUGUCUCUUAUAC
rnacentral:rRNA from 1 species